rnacentral:rRNA from 1 species
GGACUUGGACUUGGGCGUCUGCCGGUUACACGGCUCGCCUCAAAUGACUAAGUGGAUCUCUCUGCAUCCGUGACAGACGUAAUAAGUUUCGUCUUGUCCCUUGCUAAUGAGUCUGCUCAUAACCUGCCAUCGCGCACUUUUAGACUCUGACCUCAAAUCAGGUAGGACUACCCGCUGAACUUAAGCAUAUCAAUAAGCGGAGGAAAAGAAACUAACAAGGAUUCCCCUAGUAACGGCGAGUGAACCGGGAAGAGCUCAAAUUUGAAAUCUGGCGUCCUCAGGGCGUCCGAGUUGUAAUCUAUAGAGGCGUUUUCCGUGCCGGACCGUGUCCAAGUUCCUUGGAACAGGAUAUCAAAGAGGGUGACAAUCCCGUACUUGACACGAUGACCGGUGCUCUGUGAUACGUCUUCUACGAGUCGAGUUGUUUGGGAAUGCAGCUCAAAAUGGGUGGUGAGUUCCAUCUAAAGCUAAAUAUUGGCGAGAGACCGAUAGCGAACAAGUACCGUGAGGGAAAGAUGAAAAGCACUUUGGAAAGAGAGUUAAACAGUACGUGAAAUUGUUGAAAGGGAAACGAUUGAAGUCAGUCGUGACUGAGAGGCUCAGCCGGUUCUGCCGGUGUAUUCCCCUCAGUCGGGUCAACAUCAGUUUUGUCCGGUGGAAAAGGGCGGUAGGAACGUGGCACCUCCGGGUGUGUUAUAGCCGCCGUCGCAUACAUCGGGUGAGACUGAGGAAUGCAGCUCGCCUUUAUGGCCGGGGUUCGCCCACGUCCGA